rnacentral:rRNA from 1 species
AGAGUUUGAUCAUGGCUCAGGAUGAACGCUAGCUACAGGCUUAACACAUGCAAGUCGAGGGGCAGCGGGAUUGAAGCUUGCUUCAAUUGCCGGCGACCGGCGCACGGGUGAGUAACGCGUAUCCAACCUUCCGUACACUCAGGGAUAGCCUUUCGAAAGAAAGAUUAAUACCUGAUGGUAUGAUGAAAUUGCAUGAUAGCAUCAUUAAAGAUUUAUCGGUGUACGAUGGGAUGCGUUCCAUUAGGUAGUAGGCGGGGUAACGGCCACCUAGCCUACGAUGGAUAGGGGUUCUGAGAGGAAGGUCCCCCANAUUGGAACUGAGACACGGUACCAAACUCCGUACGGGAGGCA